rnacentral:rRNA from 1 species
GAUGAACGCUGGCGGCGUGCCUAAUACAUGCAAGUCGAGCGAACAGACGAGGAGCUUGCUCCUCUGAAGUUAGCGGCGGACGGGUGAGGAACACGAGGAUAACCGACCUAUAAGACUGGGAUAACGUCGGGAAACCGGAGCUAAUACCGGACAAUAGAUUGAACCGCAUGGUUCAAUAGUGAAAGCCGGUUUUGCUGUCACUUAUAGAUGGAUCCACGCCGCAUUAGCUAGUUGGUACGGUAACGGCCUACCAAGGCAACGAUGCGUAGCCGACCUGAGAGGGUGAUCAGCCACACUGGAACUGAGACACGGUCCAGACUCCUACGGGAGGCAGCAGUAGGGAAUCUUGCGCAAUGGGCGAAAGCCUGACGGAGCAACGCCGCGUGAGUGAUGAAGGUCUUCGGAUCGUAAAGCUCUGUUAGUAGGGAAGAACAAAUGUGUAAGUAACUAUGCACGUCUUGACGGUACCUAAUCAGAAAGCCACGGCUAACUACGUG